GACGAACGCUGGCGGCGUGCUUAACACAUGCAAGUCGAACGGAAAGGCCCUGCUUUUGUGGGGUGCUCGAGUGGCGAACGGGUGAGUAACACGUGAGUAACCUGCCCUUGACUUUGGGAUAACUUCAGGAAACUGGGGCUAAUACCGGAUAGGAGCUCCUGCUGCAUGGUGGGGGUUGGAAAGUUUCGGCGGUUGGGGAUGGACUCGCGGCUUAUCAGCUUGUUGGUGGGGUAGUGGCUUACCAAGGCUUUGACGGGUAGCCGGCCUGAGAGGGUGACCGGCCACAUUGGGACUGAGAUACGGCCCAGACUCCUACGGGAGGCAGCAGUGGGGAAUAUUGCACAAUGGGCGGAAGCCUGAUGCAGCAACGCCGCGUGCGGGAUGAAGGCCUUCGGGUUGUAAACCGCUUUCGCCUGUGACGAAGCGUGAGUGACGGUAAUGGGUAAGGAAGCACCGGCUAACUACGUG
rnacentral:rRNA from 1 species